CCGCGCUCCUACUUGCACGGGGAUCUGGUCUUACACAUCCCCACCCAGUGCUUGAAGGUGGAGGGAGGUGGUGCGCUUGCGUUCCGUUGGCGUGUGCCGCCUUUAAGUCCCGCGAUGGGAACAGGGAGGAAGAGCUUUGGACCCCGCCGGGCCGGGUAGUGCAGCUGCCACCCAGCCCUCCCUAGCGCCAUGCCUAAAUCCGGGCUGACUCGCUCUGAACGCUGCCCGGCCCUGCGGCCCCCCUCGCCGGGCACUGGCCAGCCGGAGAUCAGCCAGGCCACUCCGGAGAGCCACGCUACCGCUCCGAACCUCGCGGGAUCACAGCGCCCUACUCAGGCUUUUGGGGACUGAGACGCCCAGGCGGUACCCUUUGCCAAGUCAGCGCCCACCUUGGCCUCAGCUAGGCACUCUGGUCUCGGAGGCACCGGCUCUGGGAGCUCCAGAGAGGGCGAGGCCAGUUCUACUCCUUCCCAAAAAGGGUUUGAGACCGAGACAUUGAUGCUGAGAACACUGUUCCUCGUUCUGAUGCCAGCAGCUUGCACGUGGUUAAUGCUGGAAUAGGAGGCAGGAAUGUCACAUCCCUUUUCUGGGUGCUCCUCAAGAUUCUCCCAGCUGGAGAACAAACCCAACUGAAAGUGGAAGGGCCCAUUCAUAAACAGGUGGGCCCUCAAUCAGUGAUGAGUGUCCUUACAAGUGAUAAGAAGAGAAGACAUGAACGAGAGGCCAUGUGAAGAUGGAGGCAGACAAUCGAGUGAGGCACUGGAAACGCCGGAGCCUCCAGAUGCAGGAAAAGGCGAGGAGUUCUUUUCUCCACUAGAGCUUCCAGAGGGAGCACAGUCCCACCGACAACUUCAUUUUGGAUUUCUGGCUCCAGAACUGUUUCUUUCACUGAGAAACUCAAUGGAAAAGAGCACAAGGCUCUGUGAUGACAGGGACAUUCUCUGUCUCUUCACCACUGUAUCUCGAAGGCUUAGACUGCAGACACAAACUACAUGCUUAUUAAAUAUUUUCCUAAUGAAUGAAUUAGCCAGGUUUAAUAAUAGUACAAAGCACUCGUACAACCAUCAACAAAUAUUGUGAGCAUCUCAAACUCAGAUGUGCAAUGUUAAUAAUACUUAAAGAAGCAGAUGGUCUUUUAUAAAAAAGCAAACUCCACUGUGAGAGUCCUCAGAGGAGAACACAGGUUGUCUUGUGGUUUAGGAACGUUUUUCAAAGAGUUUCAAAAAAGGCUCUAAAUUCUCCCUCAUCAAUACCAGCUUAAGACGGCAAGGCCAAGUCGAGAAGACGUGUUCUGGAGCUAGAAUUGGGACAAGCCCGAGUUCUACCUGCACUAUAUGUGUGGCCUUAUGUAAAUCACCUACUUCUUCUUAGAUUUAAUUUUUCUUCAUAUUGCGGCUUAAUGCUCACAGAUGAAGCAGCCAUUCUGAGAGCAUGAGGAUGAAGUAAAUGAGAAAGCCAGAAGGAUAUCUAGUCUCUGAAGGCAUCAUGAAGACUUGUUGCUUUGAGGGAAAAAAAAAAAACCAUUUGACAAACCAGUAGAAGGAAGAGGUGCCCUCAUUAAAGUUUCUAAUUCAGUGGGUUUGGAGAAGGGCCCUGCAUCUUUCACAUGAACUGUAAGUGAUCCUCUAGCCAGUAAUCCAAAGAUCAUCCUGAAGAAACUCUGCUUUGGCAGGUGUGUAAAUGGGAAAUUUCAUGGUAAAUGCAGAAGGGAGAGAAGAGCAUCAUAAAUUUGAGGACAAUGGCAAGUCAAGUAACAAAUUGCCAGUGGCAUCUAAGAGCUUACAAAUAAAUGACUGCUUAGGCUUUACAUUAUGACCCACCAAUACGAUCCCUGAAUUUUCAAAUUUAUGAGAUAUCACAGUGAAAGAGAACUAAUGGUAAAUCUAGAAAUUGCUUUUAGCAAAUUCAGUCACUUCCAUUAUCAUUUAGUGUUAUGAAAUCCUACUGAGUAGAUGAGAAUAUUGUCUACCUGAGAACUGUUGCUCUAUAAUAUAUUGACUUGGGUGACCUAUACCAAGAAAUGUAAGACCUAUUCAACUCUCACAAGUGCAGUUAAAGCAAUUCCCUUUCUAAGAAGCAAAUCUAAAUAUAAUAAAUGGAUGCUACCUCUAUUUAAAUAAAGGACUUUAAUUGUCAAUAUCAGUACAAAAUAUUCUAUUUUUUUCUUCCUGAGAGUAUCUUAUUUACAGAUAAUAACCCCAGUUCUGAUUUUUAAUCAUGAUAGAUCCCUUGCUAAAACAAACCCAGCAUAUAAGAAUCUGUGCUUCCACAGAAGAUGCAUUUAGGCUAUUGAUCCUUUCUUUAUAAAAUAGCAAGCUCUCCUAAUGCAUUUAAAAUUGGACUUUAUUAAAACAUGGCAUUAGAAUUCUUAUACUGAAAUUUUUGUGAAGUGUAUAUAGCAAACAUAAAAUAAUUACAGUGUAGUUCUAUCUUAUUCAGGAGUCAGGCACUUAAGUGUGCUCAUAACACUCAAGUGUAGACAUAAAUUAACAUUGGAAAUCUCUCAAAUCGUCCAUGUAGUGUAAAACAAUAGCAGGUUUCCUGGCCUUCAGUGACAAGAAUGUUUAAAAACCGACUCCCUUCUUUCAUGCUUUUAGUGCUAAAGAGGAGGAGUUGAGAAGAACUGACAAGUGCAGGUUGAGAUUACCCAUAUCUGCCCAGGGCAAGGGAUUCAGAAGAAAAAUACAAAGUCGUGGCCCUCAGGGUCCAGUCUGGUGGGAGGAUAGACCAGGAAACAAUCCAUUAUACUGGGGUAAGGGCUCUAGGGGAGUUAUGGUCAAGCUGUAUCAUGGGCCUAUAAAAGCGCAAAUGUCCCUUGAGCUAGGACUGAGAUAGGGAGAGAUUAGGCAGCCAGGCAGACAUCUAAGAGGAGGUGCUGGCACUGGAGCCGCAUUUUAGAGGCUGGAAUAAACAGCUGUGUGUGCUGCCUGGGGAAGUAGGAAAGUGAGUGAAGCUGCUUUCCAUGGCUGGAGCACAGUGUGCUUCAGGAGAGGGGCCAGGAACUGAGGAAAAAUAGAUAAGGCCCAGAGCAAAAGCCUCCACACAAUGCUAAGGAAUUUUAACUUUAUUCUAAAAAUAAUGGGCAGUCAUUAAAGGAUACUAAGCAGAAAAAUGAAUUAACUAGACUUGCAUGUUAGGAAGUUUAUUCUGAUUGAUAAAAUUUAGGGUUUAUGGUGAUUUCCAUGAAGCAUUCAAAAUUAGAACCUUGGUCAGGAACUUCAUCCCCUAAUAUGCCUGCUCUAAGUUCUUUAUAUUUUACCUGCAAUUGGCACCCAGAAAUAAAGAUGACUUCCAAUACAACUCUGUAUUUUACUGACUUCACUCCUGUGGGCCAUCAUGACUCUGGGAGACUUCUCUCUGAAUUCAAGAAAUCAAAGUAAAAUUAUUUAAUAGGAAUUAUCUAUCCUUUUCAUUCAUUUAUUUCCCAAGGCCAACUUCUAAGUGAAUCUAGAGAAAAUGUUACCAUGGAUCCCCACUCUGUGCUUGAAAUGCAAAUGAUAAGUAAUGAUGACACUAAUGAAAAAUUAGCCCUAAUUGCUAGUCAUUGGAGCAAUAUUUCUUUUUUAUGACACUGAUUUGAGUAGUCCAUGAAGAGGAAAUUUAGAAUCAAAAACAGUUAUAAAUGAACCAUUUUGAAGGACUGGAGUCCAGAGCAAGUGUUAUUUAAUCUGCCCAGAGGCCAUGCAGAAGGGCAGCCUGUUUAUAUAUU